AGCGAACGCUGGCGGCAGGCCUAACACAUGCAAGUCGAACGAACCUUUCGGGGUUAGUGGCGGACGGGUGAGUAACACGUGGGAACGUGCCUUUAGGUUCGGAAUAACUCAGGGAAACUUGUGCUAAUACCGAAUGUGCCCUUCGGGGGAAAGAUUUAUCGCCUUUAGAGCGGCCCGCGUCUGAUUAGCUAGUUGGUUGAGGUAAUGGCUCACCAAGGCGACGAUCAGUAGCUGGUCUGAGAGGAUGAUCAGCCACAUUGGGACUGAGACACGGCCCAAACUCCUACGGGAGGCAGCAGUAGGGAAUCUUGCGCAAUGGGCGAAAGCCUGACGCAGCCAUGCCGCGUGAAUGAUGAAGGUCUUAGGAUUGUAAAAUUCUUUCACCGGGGACGAUAAUGACGGUACCCGGAGAAGAAGCCCCGGCUAACUUCGUG
rnacentral:rRNA from 1 species